GACGAACGCUGGCGGCGUGCCUAAUACAUGCAAGUAGAACGCUGAAGGAGGAGCUUGCUCUUCUGGAUGAGUUGCGAACGGGUGAGUAACGCGUAGGUAACCUGCCUGGUAGCGGGGGAUAACUAUUGGAAACGAUAGCUAAUACCGCAUAAGAGUAGAUGUUGCAUGACAUUUACUUAAAAGGUGCAAUUGCAUCACUACCAGAUGGACCUGCGUUGUAUUAGCUAGUUGGUGGGGUAACGGCUUACCAAGGCGACGAUACAUAGCCGACCUGAGAGGGUGAUCGGCCACACUGGGACUGAGACACGGCCCAGACUCCUACGGGAGGCAGCAGUAGGGAAUCGUCGGCAAUGGACGGAAGUCUGACCGAGCAACGCCGCGUGAGUGAAGAAGGGUUUCGGAUCGUAAAGCUCUGUUGUAAGAGAAGAACGAGUGUGAGAGUGGAAAGUUCACACUGUGACGGUAUCUUACCAGAAAGGGACGGCUAACUACGUG
rnacentral:rRNA from 1 species